rnacentral:rRNA from 1 species
UACAGAGGUCUCAAGCGUUGUUCGGAUUCAUUGGGCGUAAAGGGUGCGUAGGUGGCGCGCUAAGUCAGAUGUGAAAUUUCGGGGCUCAGCCCCGAAACUGCAUUUGAUACUGGCGUGCUCGAGGACUGGAGAGGAGACUGGAAUUCACGGUGUAGCAGUGAAAUGCGUAGAUAUCGUGAGGAAGACCAGUGGCGAAGGCGGGUCUCUGGACAGUUCCUGACACUGAGGCACGAAGGCCAGGGGAGCAAACGGG